UACGAAGGGGCUAGCGUUGUUCGGAAUCACUGGGCGUAAAGCGCACGUAGGCGGACUUUUAAGUCAGGGGUGAAAUCCCGGGGCUCAACCCCGGAACUGCCUUUGAUACUGGAAGUCUUGAGUCCGAGAGAGGUGAGUGGAACUCCGAGUGAUUAGAGGUGAAAUUCGUAAGAUAUUCGGAAGAACACCAGUGGCGAAAGGCGGCUCACUGGCUCGGUACUGACGCUGAGGUGACGAAAGGCGUGGGGAGCAAACAGGAUUAGAUACCCCGUAGUCC
rnacentral:rRNA from 1 species